ACGGAAGGCAGCAGUGGGGAAUAUUGCACAAUGGGGGAAACCCUGAUGCAGCGACGCCGCGUGAAGGAUGAAGUAUUUCGGUAUGUAAACUUCUAUCAGCAAGGAAGAUAAUGACGGUACUUGACUAAGAAGCCCCGGCUAACUACGUGCCAGCAGCCGCGGUAAUACGUAGGGGGCAAGCGUUAUCCGGAUUUACUGGGUGUAAAGGGAGCGUAGACGGUACGGCAAGUCAGAUGUGAAAGCCCGGGGCUCAACCCCGUGGAUUGCAUUUGAAACUGUCGAACUAGAGUGCAGGAGAGGUAAGUGGAAUUCCUAGUGUAGCGGUGAAAUGCGUAGAUAUUAGGAGGAACACCAGUGGCGAAGGCGGCUUACUGGACUGUAACUGACGUUGAGGCUCGAAAGCGUGGGGAGCAAACAGGAUUAGAUACCCUGGUA
rnacentral:rRNA from 1 species